rnacentral:lncRNA from 1 species
CGGCGCCGAUACCAAUCCAAUCAAUUUCUUCCCAAUCUCCGCCCUCGCCUUCUCCCCCGCCGCCGCCACCACAACCCUCGCAUCUCGAAACGGCUUCGAGCACUUCUCCUUCGCAAACCCGGCGCACUUCUCCUUUGCUGAAACAAAGCACGCUUCCAUCUCCUGCUGCUCGCACUGUUCCCUCUCCUUCAGCUCCGCCAAGGUCGGUGCCCUUCCGACGAGGCUGCGCCACAGGGAAGGCCUGCAAUUUUUCGACGCCAUCAAUGCGCAUCCGACCCGGGCUCCGCCCUCGCACUGCUUGGCGAUGUUGGAUUCGCAGGCGGCGUAGGCGGAUGACCAGGAUUGCGGGUUUCUGAAGGCGAGGACAUACGGACCCAGGGAAAGGUCGUCGGAUGCGGAGGCUGGUGCUGGAC